AAAGCAAGGAAUGCUUGGAUGAAGGCGAAGAAUGGAGAUCUUCAUUCCUACUAGUCAAAGGCCAUGCCUAAUGGGCUUCAAGGAGACUGCCUGAGGCCUUAUUAGGGAUUAGGAUUUUUCUUUCGAAAUCAUUCAAGCUUUUGAGGCUAAGAUCAUUAAAUUAAAGUUUUUGAAUACGGAUCAGAUGCAAAUUUUGUGUAAUUUGGAGUUUUUAUUAGGGAGUUAUUAGUUCUCAAAGUUGAGGUGUCAAUUUUGUA
rnacentral:lncRNA from 1 species